GACGAACGCUGGCGGCGUGCUUAACACAUGCAAGUCGAGCGGUAAGGCCCUUUCGGGGGUACACGAGCGGCGAACGGGUGAGUAACACGUGGGUGACCUGCCCUCAGCUCUGGGAUAAGCCUGGGAAACUGGGUCUAAUACUGGAUAUGACUCCACGGUGCAUGUCGUGGGGUGAAAGCCUUGUGCGGCUGGAGGAUGGGCCCCGCGGCCUAUCAGCUUGUUGGUGGGGUGAUGGCCUACCAAGGCGACGACGGGUAGCCGGCCUGAGAGGGCGACCGGCCACACUGGGACUGAGACACGGCCCAGACUCC
rnacentral:rRNA from 1 species